rnacentral:sRNA from 1 species
AUUCAAAGCAGGCUACGUAGCCAGUAAAAAUAAUUAAACGAAAUUACCACCUGCAUAGCCAUUUGACGACCAUUACACAAAACAGUUUGCACUCCGUUCCAGCUGGACAUUCGUUUUAAUGGCCUUUCUCCUGGUCCAGAUUAGAAAACAGCACGCCAGUGGGUCUGCAGUGCUUGAUAAGUAAUUACGAAGUAGCACAUAAAUUCCAGAGUAACUCAAAUGGUGCCGACGAGCGUUACCACGUGCGGUGCUCUGGUGGUCUGUCGGCUAAUCGGCAAAUGGAGCUGCUUGGCAGCAAUUCCCCAGGAGAUGAUUAUCCAUCCAUACAGCAAGUGCACCUGAAACGCAGAGAAGGGUAAUGGAGGCACUUGCUCUGAGGGUUAGUCCAGCGAUUGAUGGAUGACUCAGGGGCUUUCGUACAUCUCGUGAUGAUUCCGGCACCCCGGAAGAAGCACAGACAAUCGGAAGGAGGAUUAUGGCCUCUUAGCUUAAGCAACUUCAUACAGUCAAACAUCAGUAAUGCGUACCAGCAAGAAGUUAAAUUGGUAAAAACACAUUUUACUUAGCUAGCAGAUGAGAAAAGCUUAGAAAAAAUAAUUUUUAAUAGGUGUUGAUGUGUUCAAAGGGUAAUAUAUAUAGAAUGGGGAAGUGACACUACCAAAUAACUGUGCUUUAAGGAAGUGCUUCCUUGUAGAUGUUUUACUGUAAUUUUCCCCUAGCCCUGCCUUAAUUGCAGAGGAAGCUGCAGAGACGUGACGAGCAAUACAAUUUAUAUGUGGAAAAACUCGGCAAGAACAUGUGGUCCAAUUGAUAAAUCUCGCCCCUUCUCCCAAUUUCUGUUUGCUGAAUGUGUAAGCCCAAUAAUUUAGAGUGGGAUGAAUCAGCCGGAUUUUCGUGCCAUUCAAUUUUCCCGUUCGGGUGGUGUUUCAAAUAUUUUGAAUGCAGCGCAAUUGUCCGGUAAUAAUAGUAAUUUGCAUUCCAGGCCCUCUCUCAUUCUCUCCACUCCCACCUAAGAAUUACAGUGGUCACUCGAUUGUAAGUUUUUUAUAUAGCACUUAUGCUUCUCUCAUUUUCCCCAUGAUUGAAGACCAUUUUUGAUUGACAACUUUUGCAUUUGCGUGUGGUGGGUGUGCAUUGGAAAUCGCAAAAAGCAAUUUACCGCCUAGAUUUGUGAACGACACUUUUCAUUGGGUUCGACUGCAUUUCUGCAUAAAUUAUGGAAGCCGACGGAGCAAGUUGUUGUUAUUCUAUAUCUGCUGUUUUAGAAUUUUUACCAGCAGCGAGUUUAUUUCGCAGAGGGCGGCUAAAAGUUGGGGGAUAGGCAAAUUAUUGUAAUCAAUUUAUGCGAACAAUUUAGCUAUUGCCUCACUUUGGUGGGGCGGAGACACCUGUUAAUCUGCUGACAGGCGGAAAAUCUCAGGAAUGCUGAUUGCGUUGCACACGAUUAACCAGAAGUUCACCCCAAUGGCAACGGAAUCUGAUCGCCUUUCGGCGGCAGCUCCAUCACUAAUUUCCACAAAUCGAUUGAUUGCCCUGCAAAAGGGCCUUAAUCAGGGCGCCGCAAUUCAAACACACGUAAUUAGAGCCCUGCUGUAAUGUUAUGGAUGUGGAAUGCAUUGAAGAAAAAACAUUGUAAAAUAUAAGGAGAAAUGGUUUUAGUAAAUCAAUCCAGUUCGAUUUUAAAUAGCUAGCAAUAUUACAAUGAGUAGAAUAUGAAGUUAACUUAUUUCGAAAUUAAGUAGAUUUAAGUUCUUGAUUUUCAAUCAAUUUUUGGACAGUGCACGGCUACCUCCUUUAUGAUGACCGCUUACAGGUUGGCCAACAGAUUGUAAAAUGGCAAAACACUCGAGAUAAACGGCUAAGCAUCUGGCUGAGUGUGUGGCCGGUUGGCAAUUAAUCAAGGCUAGGUGUCGCAGACCGUAAGACUGCUUCCGAUUCCGGUUUUUGAGCCCCAAGAAAGUCCUCAUUAUGCCCACACGAUAUGGUAAUUCGAAGCUG